GAUGAACGCUAGCGGCAGGCCUAAUACAUGCAAGUCGAGGGGCAGCGCGGUAGCAAUACUGGCGGCGACCGGCGCACGGGUGCGUAACACGUAUGCAACCUACCUUCAACAGGAGGAUAGCCCGGGGAAACUCGGAUUAAUACUCCAUAACACAGGGAUCCCGCAUGGGAAUAUUGUUAAAGCUACGGCGGUUGAAGAUGGGCAUGCGUUCGAUUAGCUAGUUGGUGUAGGUAACGGCUCACCAAGGCUACGAUCGAUAGGGGGUCUGAGAGGAUGAUCCCCCACACUGGUACUGAGAUACGGACCAGACUCCUACGGGAGCAGCAGUAGGAAUAUUGGUCAAUGGGCGCAAGCCUGAACCAGCCAUGCCGCGUGCAGGAAGAAGGCCCUCUGGGUUGUAAACUGCUUUUGAUAGGGAACAAAUGCCACUUGCGAGUGGAGCUGAGUGUACCUAUAGAAUAAGCACCGGCUAAACUCCGUGCCAGCAGCCGACGG
rnacentral:rRNA from 1 species